GCGGGAAUAGCUCAGUUGGUAGAGCACAACCUUGCCAAGGUUGGGGUCGCGGGUUCGAGUCCCGUUUCCCGCUC
rnacentral:tRNA from 4 species